rnacentral:siRNA from 1 species
GGAUUUUGUCAUUUUUUAGGUUA